rnacentral:rRNA from 1 species
CAGCCGCCGCGGUAAUACAGAGGAUGCAAGCGCUAAUCGGAAUUACUGGGCGUAAAGCGUGCGCAGGCGGUUAUAUAAGUCAGAUGUGAAAUCCCCGGGCUCAACCUGGGAACUGCAUUUGAGACUGUAUGGCUAGAGUGUGUCAGAGGGGGGUAGAAUUCCACGUGUAGCUGUGAAAUGCGUAGAUAUGUGGAGGAAUACCGAUGGCGAAGGCAGCCCCCUGGGCCUGCACUGACGCUCAUGCACGAAAGCGUGGGGAGCAAACAGGAUUAGAUAUCCCGGUAGUCCCUGUCUCUUAUAC